rnacentral:rRNA from 1 species
GGGAAUGCCUAGGCUCUCAGAGGCGAUGAAGGACGUGAUAAGCUGCGAAAAGCUACGGGGAUUGGCACAUACAAAUUGAUCCGUAGAUAUCCGAAUGGGGCAACCCGGCAUGUUGAAGACAUGUUAUCCGCAAGGAGGCGAACCCGGAGAACUGAAACAUCUAAGUACCCGGAGGAGAAGAAAACAAAAGUGAUUCCGAUAGUAGCGGCGAGCGAAAUCGGAUUAGCCCAAACCAGUAUUGUUACGGCAAUGCUGGGGUUGUAGGACUGCGACAUUUGAGUCAUGAUGAAUUAGAACCGUUUGGAAAGACGGGCCAUAGAAGGUGAUAGCCCUGUAUAGGUAAA